GACGAACGCUGGCGGCGUGCUUAGCACAUGCAAGUCGAACGGUAAGGCCCUUCGGGGUACACGAGUGGCGAACGGGUGAGUAACACGUGGGUGAUCUGCCCUGCACUUCGGGAUAUGCCUGGGAAACUGGGUCUAAUACCGGAUAGGACCACUGCCUGCAUGGGUGGUGGUGGAAAGCUUUUGCGGUGUGGGAUGGGCCCGCGGCCUAGCAGCUUGUUGGUGGGGUGAUGGCCUACCAAGGCGACGACGGGUAGCCGGCCUGAGAGGGUGACCGCGCGCACGGGGACUGAGGUACGGCCCGGACUCCUACGUGAGGCAGCAUUGGGGAAGAUUGCACAAUGGGCGCAAGCCUGAUGCAGCGACGCCGCGUGAGGGAUGACGGCCUUCGGGUUGUGAACCUCUUUCAGCACCGACGAAGCGCAAGUGACGGUAGGUGCAGAAGAAGGACCGGGCAACUACGUGCCAGCAGCCGCAGUAA
rnacentral:rRNA from 1 species